GAGCCACCACGCCCGGCCUAAUUUUUGUUUUGUUUUGUUUUUUUGUAGAGACGGGGUUUCAACCAUGUUGACCAGGCUGGUCUCAAAUUCCUGAGCUUAAGCAAUCAGCCUGUCUUGGCCUCCCAAAGUGCUAGGAUACAGGCGUGAGCCACCACGCGGGGCCUUCAUCACCCUAUUAAUAUAUACUUUCUGAUACUUAAUUGCCAGGCAAUAAGCUAAACCCUUUUAUUCACUGUCUCACUUUAAUCCUUACAGGGAAGUAUCGGCUGCCAGAUAGGGAGCUGAGACUUCAAGAAGCUAAAUAAGGUGUCCAACACCACAGAGCAUGGAGCAAAGGACACGGGACUGCAAAUCUUCCUAACUCGUGUGCUCAUCUGGCUAUCUCACCAGGGCCUUAAAUUUAAUAUAUCCCAAACUGAACUCAUCUUUACCCCUUCCCACUUUGCACUCCUCAAAUGUCCUUGUUUAAAAUAGUUACCUUUAUCUUUCCUAACCCAGAAACUCAAAACCUGGCAUCAUCUUUGACUUCUCUCUUUACCUUCACAUUCAACAGUUUCCAAGACUUAAAGGCUUUAUUUGUAGGAUCUCUACCACUGAUCCUCUACAGUUUCACACCUACAUCCCAUUCUCGUUCCCAAAUCCCCAUAACUCCUCUCCUGGCCCAUCCCUUAACACUGAAAUCCUGGCUUGGAAAAUAUGGUCACAUUCACAGCAGCUGUCCCCAAGAAGGAAGCCAAGGCAACAGUAUGCACAAUGAAAUCACUCUGGGAGAAACUCACUGCCAUGUUGUGACAACACUAUGGAGACGCCCAGGUGAGGGACUGAGGCUUCCUGCCAACAGCCACAUGAAUAAGAUUGGGAACAGAUCCUCCAGCCCCAGUCAAGCCUUCAGAUGACUGCAGUCUCAUGAAAGACCCUGUGCCAAAACCACCCAGCUUGAUGAAAUAAUCUGUACAACAAACCCCCAUGACACAAGUUUACUACAACAAACCUGCACAUGUACCCCUGAACUUAAAAGUUAAAACAAAACCACCACCACCACCACCACCACCCAGAAAAAACACCCAGCUAAG
rnacentral:lncRNA from 1 species